ensembl:lncRNA novel transcript, antisense to RGS7
GGGUGGGGCCAGAUAGGAGAACAAAAGCAGGCUGCCCGAGCUAGCAGUGGCAACAUGCUCAGGUCUCUUACCACGCUGUGGAAGCUUUGUUCUUUCGCUCUUUGCAAUGAAUCCUGCUGCUGCUCACUCUUUGGGUCCACACUGCCUUUAUGAGCUGUAACACUCACUGUGAAGGUCCGCAGCUUCCCUCCUGAGCCAGCGAGACCAGGAACCCACCAGAAGGAAGAAACUCAGAACACAUCCCAACAUCAGAAGGAACAAACUCCAGACGCGCCACCUUAAGAGCUGUAACACUCACCGCGAGGGUCUGCGGCUUCAUUCUUCAAAGUCCAUUCUAAGUUGUUCUGUCAGUGAAACUCUGUUUAAAACAUGGCUUGUAUGAAGUUGUCAGGAAUCGGCUCUGACACUUGGAUGAUUCUUCAGCUGGCUAUAAAAUUCUAAAAUCAGAGUAACCGUGUAUUGACUUCCAACAUUCCACAUUUCCAAAGGUGUUUCCUGUGAUCUCUGGGAUCCUGAUCCGCACCACUCAACUUUGGCCUCCUAAACUUCAUCCUUGACCCCACCCCAGGACCUCUUGACCAGAAUUUAUCCAGCACUCCAGCACGGCUUGCACGUUAUCUGGAGUAAAGAGACCUUCUGGGAUUUCAUCAGCCUCCUGUCCAUCAAGAGUUCUUCCAGUUUUUGACUGACUGAAUUUUCAGUGAACUGUGUGUCUAACUGAAGCUUUGAGAGAGAGAGAGAGAGAAAGAAGGAAAAAAAGAAAAGGUUUUACUUCACUUGAACUUGUUAAAAAGGAAGAGACACAGAUCCAGCAUAGUAGAAGGAGAAAGAAAGCAGACAACAGUUUGGAAUGGAGGCAUUGAGACGGAAGAGUCCAUUGGAGAUGGAAUGUACACACAAAAAUAACAAUUUAGGUCCUUUGCUCAUGCAACAUCUUGUUCUAAUGUCCUCUGCUCCAGGUCACAACAUUGAGCUACAAAGUGUGUGCAGUGACUCCAGUCUGCAUUCAUGCUACAAGAUGAUCCGUUUAGUAAGACUGAGCAAGGCUUGUUAACCUCUUGGACGUGAGAGAUUUCCCCUGAGAAAAUAUAUAAAACAAGAGAAAAGAAAGAAAAUCAAGUACGAUCACUGAAAACCUGCUUAGUAGUAGCAACUAUUUACUGUAGCUGAUUUUUGUGCAAGGUCAACACUGAACCCUUUAAGUCCAUCUUAGUUCAAACCUCAUGACCAACCUGCCUUCCCCCCUCCCUCCCUCCACUGACACGUCAAACAAAACUAUCCUCCCUCCCUCCACCCUCCUACCCCUCCCAAAUCCUUCCUCCCCACUGCAAACAGACUGAUGGUUUCACAGCACAGAUUAGCAAAUCAUAAAACAUAUCCAUAAAUGCUCCAUCAAGGCUUAGCAAUGAAGCAACACCUAGGUUCCCAACUGAUUAUAAACAUGUUACAACAAAUCUUAGUAAGCUGCUCUGAAAGAUAAUGUGAGUGCAUUCUUGUUCAAUGGCUGAAAUUAAUGUCACAUUUAUAAAUAUCUAGAAAUGUAGAGGAUACGAUUUAAUUAAAUAAAAUGCAGUUUUUGAGGGUGUGAUUCAUGAAACUCAAGAUUGAGUCUGUUCCCUAUCUUACAUAAUAAUGGAUAAAAAGGUGCCAAUUAUAUAUCUGAAGAUAAAAGUCUACUUGUUCCCUGUU